rnacentral:rRNA from 1 species
GGGCCCGCACAAGCAGUGGAGUAUGUGGUUUAAUUCGACGCAACGCGAAAACCUUACCGAUUCUUGACAUCCGACCAACGAGGCGGAAACGCAUUAGGUGCCCUUCGGGGAGGGUCGAGACAGGUGGUGCAUGGUUGUCAUCAGCUCGUGUCGUGAGAUGUUGGGUUAAGUCCCGCAACGAGCGCAACCCUUAUUGUCGGUUGCUACGAAAGAGCACUCCGGCAAGACUGCCGUUGACAAAACGGAGGAAGGUGGGGAUGACGUCAAAUCAUCAUGCCCUUUAUGAAUCGGGCUACACACGUACUACAAUGGCGGCUAACAGCGAGGAGCGAAGGCGCGAGCCGGAGCAAAUCUCCAAAAGCCGUCUCAGUUCGGAUUGCAGGCUGAAACUCGCCUGCAUGAAGUUGGAAUUGCUAGUAAUCGCGAAUCAGCAUGUCG